UUUAUGCGUCGAAUUUUGGCCGCGUCGAAUGCAAUUAAGACAAUAGAUGAGAUGAUAAACCUCAUUAAGCUUCAUUAUCUAUUGUUUGAAUUGCAUUCGACGCGACCGACAUUCGACGUACAAA
rnacentral:miRNA from 1 species